rnacentral:rRNA from 1 species
AGUGAACGCUGGCGGCAGGCCUAACACAUGCAAGUCGAGCGGCAGCGGGUUCCCGCGAGGGGAUGCCGGCGAGCGGCGGACGGGUGAGGAACACAUCGGAAUCUGCCUGGUUGUGGGGGAUAACGUAGGGAAACUUACGCUAAUACCGCAUGAGACCCUGAGUCGACGGACUGGGGGUGAAAGUGAGGGAUCUUCGGGCCUCACGCGACCAGAUGAGCCGANGUCGGAUUAGCUAGUUGGCGGGGUAACGGCCCGCCAAGGCGACGAUCCGUAGCUGGUCUGAGAGGAU